GCUGUGAUGGCUGAGGGGUUAAGGCAUUGGACUCGAAAUCCAAUGGGGUCUCCCAGUACAAGUUCAGACUCUGCUCACAGCG
rnacentral:tRNA from 1 species